UAUUGGACAAUGGGGGGAACCCUGAUCCGGUGACGCCGCCUGAGUGAAGAAGUAUUUCGGUAUGUAAAGCUCUAUCAGCAGGGAAGAAAGAAAUUACGGUACCUGACUAAGAAGCCCCGGCUCACUACGUGCCAGCAGCCGCGGUAAUACGUAGGGGGCAAGCGUUAUCCGGAUUUCCUGGGUGUAAAGGGAGCGUAGACGGCGAGGCAAGUCUGAAGUGAAAGGCGGGGGCCCAACCCCCGGACUGCUUUGGAAACUGUAUAGCUGGAGUGCAGGAGAGGUAAGUGGAAUUCCUAGUGUAGCGGUGAAAUGCGUAGAUAUUAGGAGGAACACCAGUGGCGAAGGCGGCUUACUGGACUGUAACUGACGUUGAGGCUCGAAAGCGUGGGGAGCAAACAG
rnacentral:rRNA from 1 species